UACAUUUUUUAAAUUAUAUAUUUUCUAAGAAAUCUCAACUCAUAUGUGUUUGUUUCCAUACCUAAUGUGAAUCCUUCAAUUCUCUAAAAAAAAAAAAAUAAACAAAAAUAAAAAAGAAGUUUUAGUGGAGAAAAACAUAAGGAUUAGCACAAGCAACAGAAGGAGAAAACUAGAAAAGGUAUUUACAAUUAAGAAAAUAUAUUGAAUCACACACUCUGAGAUUGUGGCUUCAUUUAAGUUAAAAACUCUAGGUGGGGUUGCAAAUAUUCCUACAGGUCCUCUUUCAUUUCUUAUUUUUCUCUGCAAGGAAGAGAAACUCCAGACUCCAAAAUUAUCAGAGAUCUGGGAUGGAGAAAAUAAAAGCAGAGUUCUGUGACCAAUUCUGCCUCUGACUGACUGUGAUUUUAAUGGUGUUUUAGCUUCUCCAUCUCCACUGUGAGGCUGUAAUUGCCUAGAGAUCUGGGUGGGUCCUCCACGGAAAGGUUUUAAGACAGCUACAAUUAGCUGUAAGUUAUCUUGACUUUUAAGAGAAAGAUUUCAGACUCUGUGGCUUAAGGGUUGUCUUUUUCCACCUUGCUUUGCCUCCAUGUUUCCUCAUAUGGCAGGAGGAAUAACAAAUACAGAAAGGACAGCUCUAGUUCCUUAAUCUUUUCUGCUUGUGACCAGAAUACUCUGUGCUGUUAACAUUUCACUUCUCAAUUUAUAAAAGGUCAUAAUAUUGUGUUGGUUCUGUGUGGUCUUAUUUUAGUAUUUUGUCUUAUUUUAUUGGGAAAAAAUGCAAAGAAUUAGCAUAGCAGAUUAUGGGGAAUUUUAUCUUUAUUAAUUGUUGAACUUGCCCUCUUCUCCUAGUUUCUUUAUCAUUGUGGACUGACGUUUUUGCAAAGUUCAUUUUCAGUUUCUAUUUUAUUUUUCCAGUGUUGGGGAAAGGUCUCAAGUAAGACAGAGAAGGCAGAAAUUCACCAGCAAAUCCAAACUGGGGAAAUCCCAGAGUUGAAGACAAGAAACUUAAGAAAACCUUACAAAAAGAAACAUGCUUGGGGCUACUCUUGUUUGCUGGUAGAAUGAUCUGUAGAAAAUUCUGAGAUAAGGUGUUAAAAGUAAGAAAAUGCAGGCAUAAUUAUGAUCAGACUGUCAACUUUCCCCUUGUCUAAUGGGAGCCAAAGAAUGAUGUUUUAAUGCUCAGCUUCUAGAUGAAAUAUGUAUUAGCAAACUAUUCUAGGCCUUUAUAUUCCUUUAUUUUUGUUUUCAAAAAUUCCCAUGACAAUAUUCUGGCAUCCAUGCCACAUGAGGAUACAUUUCGUGCCAAAACAAGCUUAGGAAAUCUGCAGUUUAAAGGAGGAAGGUAUGCUGCAGCUGAGAGCAGACGCUUCUAAGGCAUCUUGGGAAGGUUGCAUCUGCAGUCUCAAGAAAUAUUAAAACCUAUUUUAAUGUAGGCAUUGUUCCUGAGAGUAGCUUCAAUAAGCCACGUGGAUGCAAUUAUCCAGCUCAGGGGUUGUUUCUUAUGGAAUCCAACCUAUGACUGUUGACGCCAGGAGUGGUCCUGGGAAGGAGACUCUGAAAAUUUUGGAGCUGGCUGGGAAUAAGAGUCCUGUUGCUGUUGAUAUCUGAGAGCAACCUUCUGCCAGGAUUUGCCCUGCCCACAGGCGUUAGCAUGGACUUGAUGACUGCGGUGUGGCUUUUACUUUCUCAAUUUUCCAGAGCUCAUACUCCUCAAACUCCAGAGGAAUAAGAUAAAAUCACCUUUUAGUGCUAGAAGGAAACUGAGGAGUCAUCCAACCUAAUCCAAACAGAAAUAUGUGGAGGUAGGAAAGAUUUUAUGAUUGUGAAAGCUGGAUAUUUAGCAACCUAAUUGAUUUUUGUAUCAACCAGCAAUUAGUUUUUAAGCUGGAGUAAUUAACUCUCUUAAUACUCAGAAAUCACUCAAUAUAACUGUGACUAAGUUGUGUUUAAGGACCAACUCUAACUGACUGUAACUAAGAAGACGAUGAGGGGACACAAUAAUAGGUAAUGGUUCAUUCUUUCUAUAGGUAAUAUCUUUAUAUUGACCCCUAACAACAUGUUGAAAAGGCUUGUUGGUGACAAGACAUGUUGGCAGUGUUUGGUGAUGAGAUAAGCUAGGGUUUUAAAUUCUUUUUGUUUGUACUUUUUCAUAUUACUUAUUUUUUUCCAUGGAACCUCUAUUAUUUGUAAUUUGAAAAAUUAUAUGCAUUAAUAUUUUAGAGAAAUAUAUUUUCUAUUUCUGACUCUCUGCAAUGAAGAGAAAACUAGGAGGUCACAAAAUGACUUUCUGUUAAAAGUCUAAGUAGAUUAUAGUUUAUCUAAUGCUACUUUCUUACUUGUAUAUUCAACCUCUGUUCCACCUCUGGCCUGGGUUACCAGGUGCCAGUGCCUAUCAUGCAACUAGAGCCUUUGUUUUGCCUUUUCCCACCCACAUCCAUGUCCCCUGCAUGGUGCAUCUCUACUUAAACAUCACAGAGCUGAUGAAGGGGGCAGCAGGCUGCACACAAGCCUGGUGGCAGUUACACAGGUUUCUAUUUCAUGGUGGUGAGAGAGUAGCUGUAGUUGUAGAAUUGUGGCUGAUUUUACUAUUGUUUCUUUUUCACAUCUGUAUAUUCCAGCAUUUCUGCAUGGGAAUAUUAUUUAAUUUAAAGUCAGUAAAAAUUCUAUAAAAUAUGU
rnacentral:lncRNA from 1 species